GGAAGUGGUGAACGGUGUGGAAUUAAAACUACGUUUGGACGGUCCACGAUCAUUCACAACAAGUUAUGGUAGAAAAUUAGUUGUGUUUUUGCAUAAAAUAGAGAAAAUGAGCGAGACAACAGAAAUUUGGUGUGCAGAGAUUGCCCUCGAAAGGCGCGAAGGAGGAGAAAUAUGGGGAAAGGUCGAGUGGUAUGAUCUUGUGCUU